GGACUACACGGGUUUCUAAUCCUGUUUGCUCCCCACGCUUUCGUGCAUGAGCGUCAGUGUUAUCCCAGGGGGCUGCCUUCGCCAUCGGUAUUCCUCCACAUCUCUACGCAUUUCACUGCUACACGUGGAAUUCUACCCCCCUCUGACACACUCUAGCCGUGCAGUCACCAAUGCAGUUCCCAGGUUAAGCCCGGGGAUUUCACAUCGGUCUUGCACAACCGCCUGCGCACGCUUUACGCCCAGUAAUUCCGAUUAACGCUCGCACCCUACGUAUUACCGCGGCGGCUGGCAC
rnacentral:rRNA from 1 species